rnacentral:sRNA from 1 species
CUCUACCCCUUUGGUGCACUCUGGUGCCGCCCGCCGCAACCUGCCUUCCCGGGGCUCGGGUGGACACUUCCCCUCUAGCAUACUUUGCCUCUGAUAAACUUAAUUAAUAAAUUAAAACUUUUAACAACGGAUCUCUUGGUUCUGGGAUCUAUGAGAACGCAGCGAAAUGCGAUAAGUAAUGUGAAUUGCAAAAUUCGUGGAAUCAUCAAAUCUUUGAACGCACAUUGCGCCCCCUGGAAUUCCGGGCGGCAUGCCUGCUCGAGCGUCAUUUCACCACUCAAGCCUCGCUUGCCAUUGGGCAACGCGGGCCGCCGCGUGCCUCAAAUCAUCCGGGUGGCCUUCGGUCCCCUAAACCCUCCCGAACUAUUCGCUAAAGGGUGCUCGGGAGGUUACGCCGUAAAACAACCCCAUUUCAGG